rnacentral:rRNA from 1 species
UACGUAGGGGGGCUAGCGUUGUCCGGAUUUAUUGGGCGUAAAGAGCGUGUAGGCGGCCAGGUAGGUCUGCUGUGAAAACUCGAGGCUCAACCUCGAGACGUCGGCGGAAACCAUCUGGCUAGAGUCCGGAAGAGGAGAGUGGAAUUCCUGGUGUAGCGGUGAAAUGCGCAGAUAUCAGGAGGAACACCCGUGGCGAAAGCGGCUCUCUGGGACGGUACUGACGCUGAGACGCGAAAGCGUGGGGAGCGAACAGG